CCUACGGGUGGCAGCAGUGAGGAAUAUUGGUCAAUGGGCGCGAUCCUGAACCAGCCAAGCCGCGUGAGGGACGACGGUCCUAUGGAUUGUAAACCUCUUUUGUCGGGGGGCAAAAUCCGCCACGCGUGGCGUUCCGAGAGUACCCGAAGAAAAAGCAUCGGCUAACUCCGUGCCAGCAGCCGCGGUAAUACGGAGGAUGCGAGCGUUAUCCGGAUUUAUUGGGUUUAAAGGGUGCGCAGGCGGAAGAUUAAGUCAGCGGUAAAAUUGCGAGGCUCAACCUCGGCGAGCCGGUGAAACUGGUUGACUUGAGAGAGUGAGAAGUAUGCGGAAUGCGUAGUGUAGCGGUGAAAUGCAUAGAUAUCACGCAGAACUCCGAUUGCGAAGGCAGCAUACCGGCGCUGAACUGACGCUGAUGCACGAAAGUGUGGGUAUCGAACAGGAUUAGAUACCCCAGUAGUC
rnacentral:rRNA from 1 species